rnacentral:lncRNA from 1 species
AGUGUUACAGCUAGAUUAGUUUGAGAUGCAAAAUUAUACCCAGUAUGUAAGAUUGUGUCAGGUUUUACGGCUCCUGAAUCAGGAGACGACGCAAUGACAUCGGAGAGGUUAUGGAAUUGAAAUCUGAAAAGUCUCAAGAAAUUGAAGGAAUAGGCAUAAAUGAAAGAAUUUUCUUACUGUUGCUAUGUUUCAUUGUAGUAACUUGGAUCUGUGAAUCUCCAAGAAGGGAUGUUCAUAUUCACAUGCAAAAAAUACCAUUGAAAUGAUUUUUGGAAUAUUGAGAGACCUUUGACAGACUUGAAGCUUUCUUCAGGGAAAGUAUCAAAACACAUGAAACCAGAACUGUCAUCAGUCACAACUAAAAAACUGAGUUUUAGUUUUGAGAAAACAGAAGACAGAACACAAGGUUCAAGGAAAAUGUACAAAAAUGAAAAUAUUAAAUUGUCAUGGUAUUCAUCA